UACGUAGGGGGCAGGCGUUGUCCGGAAUCAUUGGGCGUAAAGCGUGCGCAGGCGGUUCGCAAAGACAGGUGUGAAAUCCCCGGGCUUAACCUGGGAACUGCGCUUGUAACUAGCGGGCUAGAGUGCGGCAGAGGGGGGUGGAAUUCCACGUGUAGCAGUGAAAUGCGUAGAGAUGUGGAGGAACACCGAUGGCGAAGGCAGCCCCCUGGGUUAGCACUGACGCUCAUGCACAAAAGCGUGGGGAGCAAACAGG
rnacentral:rRNA from 1 species